rnacentral:lncRNA from 1 species
GCUCACAGGGUAGCCAGACACCGUCCAUCUGCAUCUAGCCCUAUAAAAUCCAUCCUGUUCAUGGUAGCAAUGGUCUCUUUCUGCAACAAGACCUCGGUCACGUCACUUUCCUUAUCCAGAGUUGAUGGGAGUUCUUGAGGAGCUACCACUUUGAGCCAAAAUUUCUCAGCAGGUCUGGCUUGAAUAGAGACCCUUUCAGAGGAAGCCUGCAGCCAGCCAGUGAAGCCACCAGGAAGGCUACUACAACCUUACAAGUCCACAGAGCUAUUUGCUAUAUUGACCAUAAGGGUCUGUCACUGGGACCAGGAGAGGGGAUUGUCAACCCUGUGUUAGAAUCCUCUGGAAGAUUUGUUAAAAAUAGAUUACUGGGUCUAGUCUCAAGUGUUCUGAUUCAGAUCUGGGGGAGUGUCAAUUUGCAGCAUGUUUUGAGGUCACGGCCAGGAUUUGGGCACUUCUUCCAGUGCAGUGGGCACGUGUUGAAGGGUCUAAAACAGUUGAGUGCCACGGGCCGGGGGUUGGCUUUACCAUGCAUCCUGGCUUCCUCCUCUCGCUCAGGAACUCAUCAAGGCUGUCUCCCCAGUGCUUUAAAUGGAGCCAGCCUUUCAUCAUGCUAAGUGCCUCUCAGAACCUGUUUCGCCCUAUAACUGCACCAAACUCACUCUUCCUUCAAGCGCUCUAGCGGGCCCCUCUUGUGUGCUGGGCCCUUUACAGAUAAGAGCCUGCACACGUGUCUCUUCAUUUGACCCACGCUAGGAGAUGCCAGGGAGGGCAUUAUAAACCACGCUGUCCUAAUGUCCAAAUGACACAGGACUUGGUUGGGGCCACAGAGAAGGUAAGUGAGAAAACCAGGCUUUGAACCCGGGUCUCCUUUCCCAAACCUGCUGCUCCGUCUGCCACCACCCGUUGCUUUUCCCCCGCAUCCUUGCUGGGUCCAGGCCGCCUCUUCGGGCUCCUGCUUGGCACUUCCGGAAUCUGAUUUCCAGGAAGAAGGCACCACACAGUAACAGUGUGCAUUCCGGGCGGGCAGCCCCAGUGGCAGAGAACUUUCCUCUUUGGGCACAUAGACAGGGGUUUACAAAACUUCCCACAGGGGCUUGCUAAAGCCUCUGCCAGAGUGUCAGCGUUCAGAGCACAAACAGCCACAUUAACCAGGUCCCGCCCCCGUGUCUCUUGCCCGGUGAACACUGGCAGCCACCUACAAAGGCGGUAGCCUGGUCAUCUGUUUCAUCUAUUCUGAUGGAAACUUCACACGCACACCAUUUUGGCCACCUUGCACCUACUGUUUUGCAUUUAGGGGCAAUAUGCAUUGUCCUCUUCUGGUGCCCAAACAGAUAGACAAACAACAGCAACAACACAAACCCUUGGCCUCUUUGAAGAAGUCUCCUGGAAGCACGUUUCAGCUGGCCUGGGAAAAUGUCUCUGAAUGUUUUCUGAUGGAGGCCUUGGAGGCCAAAAUUCCACAGACUUGAAUAGGAAUAGUCAGGGGCAGGCCCACGUGUCUCGUUGUUUCGGAACCUUGGACGAAAUUAGGAGCAGCUGCUCCGGGCCAAGCAGGAGUGCUUUAUGACGUGCUGACACCUCCAGGAGGUCCUCCAGGCAGCGAGGUGCCAUCUCAGGAGGAUGUGAGUUUAUGACUUGCCCCUCUGCAGCCUCCGGAAUGCAGGCUUCCCAUAUGCUUACUGGUGAUGUAAAAAAGGAAUGUGUUCAGAGUCACCUUUGCCCAGGGUCUGGCCACGCCCACACCCCAUUCCUCGAGGUUUUGGCCUUCAAAGGGAAGAGCAAAUCCUCCCCUGGCAGCACACGCUGCUUCCCUCCGAUGUUGCUACAGCUCUGAUAGAGGUGCUCCUGGUCACGUCCCAUUGAGGAUGCGUUGUGGCUCACGGAGAGAGCCAACGCCAACCUGGGUUCCGAUUGCGGCUCUGCCUCUUUCUAGUUAUAUGAUCUGGGCAGGCCUCCUUGGUCUCCUCACCCGCCAGAGAGGACCAAUGGAGUACCAAUCUGGUAGUAGCUGUUAUGGAUGAAAAGCUUGAUUGCAUUAGGCAUGGUGCUAAGCUGUUGCUAUGGAGUAUUUAAUUUUGUAUUUACGAGAUUCCCAUGAUGGGCAUCAUUUUUCAGAAGAGGAAAGGAGGCUCGGAGAGGUUAGGAAGUUGUCCAAUGUCACACAGCUGGCAGGAUUCAAAUCUGCCGACUACAGGGCAGACCACUACAGUGUCCUAGAUUUUCUCUUGAACCAUCAUGUGAAUCAGUGCUACUUAAAUCAAAUAUCACUCAAGACCUGGCUUGAGCUGCAGCUCCCUCUGCAUUGGUUCCCUUGCCCCAUGCCUACCUCUAGAGUGAAGAAGGCAGAUAAACAGACUAUGGUAUCAAGCACUGUGGCUCAGAGCUGGCAGGGAGCAGAAUGGGGCUCAGCUUCUUGUGAGUUCCUGUGCUAGGCAUAGAGGCUGGCUGCCCCGAGGCCUGGGCCACCACUCAGGUCUUUGCACUGCUCUGAGUUAAAGAUCCAUUUUAGUUUUAAGAACAGUAGCCGACAGGAAUGGUACGCCUGAAUGGUGGUGAGGAGCUCAGUACCAGCUCUGCAAUAGCCCUGGGCAUGUUAUUUUGUUGCUCUGAGCCUCAGUUUCCUCAUCUGCAAGAUGAGAUGAUGAUAGUUCUUAUUCUUCAGGAGACUUGUGAGGCCCAAUAAGAUGGAGCAUGUAAAGCAUUUAGUAUUAUAUCUGGUAUAGGAUAAACAUUCAAUGGAGGACAGACACUAUUAUCCUACUCUAAAGAUUUCAAAUGAAAGGCAGACACUAUUAUCCUACUCUAAAGAUUUCAAAUGAAAGACAGAAAAAGAAUAGGGCACUGAGCCUUCAUGAUGAAAAUAUUUUAGGAAACAGAAAGUAAGAACAUCAAAGAAAGAGACACAACUGUAAUUUUACACCCAGCAGACCUCCCUGCCUCUCUGUCCUUUAUUCUCUGUAUAUCUAUUUUGAACCUUCCUUUUAAAUAUCUCUAAACUUUUCUCAAGCAAUACAAGAAGUCUCAUCCCCACCCUAGCCCAAGGGAAAGAGAAGAUUCUAAAGAUGCUGCUUAUGUCUGGUUUCUGCUGAGAAGGGCAGAGCAUUACAUCCCCAAGAGCACGGGUUGUCCUGUACUCUGAGUACCCUGGUCAGAGUUGACCGUGUGUUGUGCUUAAGGCACAUAAUUAGUUGUGCCUUUUUCCUGAGGUCUUUUAAAGAAACCCUUCCAUUCCCACAGAGUCCAUUUGAAUCGCAUAAACAGUAAAAUUCUUUUUGUGUUAACCUUAAGUGGGGAGUGAGUAGUUUGCAGAAAUGUCCAAGAAGCAAUCAUCUUAUGGGAGCUGAACUCUGUCAUGGGGCCCACACCAAGAAUUCCACCCAAGAGGGCAGCAAAAAUAUAUUGCCUGUGGAUAACAGACACUGUUUAUGAAUAACACAGUAUCCACAUGCCCGUGCUUUGCUGACAACACUCUGAUUUUGCUUAGAGCAGCAAUGAACUCAGUUCCCAAUGAUAUACACACUUUCUCAGACAUCCUUAUAUCUAGGGGAAGUCAUAUAUCAUGUUCUUGACAGUGAAACGUGCAUGUGGGAGAGAUUUGGGAGCUCUGUGGAAAGCAUGUACUUCUUCCCUUCCCCCUUAUUUCUACCUUGAGCACAGACAUGGCAGGUCAACCAUCGCUGGCAUCUUGAAAACGAGAUGGAAAAGUGGAACAAACUGCAGGGAUUGUGGUCCUGACACCUCUGAGCUGCUGAAUUAUAGCCAUAACAUUCUACCUCCAUCUAUAUUAUGUAAGAAAAACAAACUCCUUCCUGGUGAGGGAGAGGGCUAGCGUGGCAGUUGGGUUGACCAGAUGACUGAUGCUUUGGGGCAGAUACCUGAAAGAGGGCACUGUGGGGUUGGUACAAGUAUUCCCACCCACCCUGAUCCUUCCCAUCCCACAGUAAAAAAAUUACUUAAGUCGCUUUAAUAGGAUUUUCUAUUACUUGCAGCCUAAAGUAUUCUUAAUGGAGAAGCAGGGCUCCAGGUAACCUUUGGAGACCCAGAUAAGGAAAACUGGAAAGUAAAUUUGGGGUUGGAUUUUACUUUCUGACUAUGGUGUCUCCUCUCUUUGUGGUUAGAGCUUGGCUGAACCCUUGUGGUUGAACCCUUGGAGAGCAGCAGGGUGUGGUCAGAAAAUCUAGAUCAGGAAUUCUCACUGUGUCACAGACAAGAGAGCAGUGAAGGUCCUUGAGUUCAAAAAGUCAUAGCCUUUUGGAGAAGGAUGUUCUCUCAGAGAGUGUUCUGAACCCCACCCCUUGCCCCUGUUUCCCCCACACCCACUGCGGAGUUCCUAUUCAGCUUUGUCAGAUUACUCACCAUUUCCUGAACAUUCUGUGCCUGGCUUGAUCCAACUCCUUGGCUCCAAAGUCCCCAUCAUCUCCUCUUCCACUUCCCUUUUUGGCUUAUCUUUCAAGGUCCCACUUGGUGACCUCUUCUGUCCGGUCCUUCCGACCAUCCCCAUGCCUUUCCACCCACGCAGGAUGCACUGCUCCUUCUGCUGGGUCAUCUCAGUGACUCCACUCUGAUAUCUUUUCCAGCCCUCGUUCAUCCAACAAGUGCCUAUCCCUUGGCAUGAGGCGAGGCACUUAGCACUGGACAUUAUAAUUCACUGUAGACAUAUUUAUGUCACCCACCAGGGUCAGAUUUCUUUAAGGACAGGGUCCAUUUAUCCUGAUCAUUUAUAUUAUUUCCAGCGCCUAGAAUGGUACAUAAAGACAGCAACCAGAGUUUGGGUAUUCAAGUUUAGUGCUUCUUAAAAUGUGUGCUUUGGAACAUCAAUUUCCAGGGUGAUCUUAGGAAUUUCACACCGUGGUUAAAUAGGUGUGGAGAACGCCAGCCUGUGUGAGAUUUCUCAAAGCCUUAACCACAUGUGAAUCACCGCGAGGGAGACUGAGUAUUCAAGGCUUCUCCAGUGGAUUUGACUGUGGGAUCUCUUUCUCACAGAGAACUUUGAGGGACUAAAAUGCUGAGGAAUGCAUUUUGGAAACCCCAAGUCAGACAACUCCUUUGUUUUGUUUUAAAAGGGAAGCAUAAUCCAGUGUCUUUCUUAAGGUCUACCACUUGGUUGGAGGCAUAGAGGAGAGGCCUACCAUGGGUGACCUCAGGGGUUGCCAGACAGACGAGCUCUGAGCUGUGGUUGAAGAGGCAGCAGACUGAGGGGCCAGGAAGACCUGGGCUCCCAUCCGGAUUUUCCACUUCUUACCUGUGUCACCUAAGCAAACACUCCAAACUCCCUUGGUCUCAGAUUUCUCAUCUUUAAAAUGUAGCUAGUAGUGCCUAUCUCCCAUGGCACUUGUGAUGUCUGAAGGGUCUAGCCUGUGAUAAAGGCUUAAAAAAUGGUUGCUAUGGAAGCCAACAGUUCUCCAGAUUUCUUGGGAUGUGAGGCAAGAUCCUGCCAAUAUUAGAGGUAAACACUGAAGAAUAAUCAACAGUACCUUGGGUACACACACCAAUGAUACAUAGAGAUGUAGCCAGGAAGCCUCGCUAGGGGAAAGGUGCGAACUCUCUGGUCCAAUAUUACCAGUAAGACAAGAGUCUGGUUCAUUCUGCAAUCCUCCUCCCUGUGCCUGGAGACUGCUGAAUAAAACAACAUCCUAACAUCCUUCAGUCCUUGAAAACAGCUUCUUUCCCCAUCCUGGUGGCCAUGUUUUCAUGGUCCUCCAAGCCCCAGCGUGAGCAGUGGUGCAGCUGGACCUGUGCAUUCUCCUCUCCCUCCUCGAUCUGCCGUGACCUGACCUCUGUGCAUCUCUUUGCCACUUUUCUCCACUCUGUCACUCUCUGCUUUAGUGACACUGACCUUCUGUCACUUCAUGGCAUCCUGGGGCUCCUCCCUCCCACCUCAGGGCCUUUGCUCAUGCUCUUUCCUCUCUCUGGAAGCCUUUCCUUCUCUCUUCCAGUCUAAUUUUUCCUUCUGGUCUCAUCUCAGAUGGCACUCCCUUAAGAGAAGCCUUCCUCCAAACACAGCCACUACUUGUUCCUCCACUGUUAUCCGGGCACACCAUUUCCUCUGCUUUUUUCUUCAUACUAAGCACUGUUAGCAAUUACAUGUUUAUGCGAUUUAAAAAAAAAUAAUCUCUCUCUCCCAUUCUAGAAGUCACGCUUUGCUGACUAUUGUACCCCUGGAGCCUAAGCAGGGCGGGCUACAGAUGCCCAUCAAAUAUUGGGUGAAAUGACUGGUGAAUGAUAUACUGUCUGGUUUAUUGGGGGGGGGUGGUCUGUGGGUCUCACACUUUUCUGAAUGGGAUUGUUUCCUUUAUGGAUCUGGGAGGGAUGGGCUAGGAGGUUUGCUGAGCCUGCUUCUUUUAGGAAAAGACUGGUAUUUGAGCUUUGGUGUGUGAGUGUCCCCGUCAUGGUUCAGUGGUUAACGAAUCUGACUAGGAACCAUGAGGUUGCAGGUUCGAUCCCUGGCCUUGCUCAGUGGGUUUAGGAUCCGGCGUUGCCAUGAGCUGUGGUGUAGGUUGCAGACAUGGCUCAGAUCCGCGUUGCUGUGGCUCUGUUGUAGGCCGGCAGCUGUAGCUCCGAUUCGACUCCUAGCCUGGGAACCUCCAUAUGCCACGAGUGUGGCCCUAGAAA